rnacentral:tRNA from 2 species
GGCAGGGUAGCUCAGUUGGUUAGAGCGCGGGACUCAUAAGCCCGAGGUCGUGAGUUCAAUUCUCACUCCUGCUACCA